UAACAUUUCUUUACCUCCUGCACACCCCUCAAACCGAGACCUCUAGGGUGUAUAAAACACGUCUCUCAUACCAACUCUGGAGGGUAGAGUUGGAAUAUUUUACCUA
ncrna:unclassified sequences PhotoRC-II RNA